AUAAAAAAAAUAAAAAGAAGUAAGCCGAUUGAGAAAAUACUGUUUAAGAUAACAAGGGAUUUAGAAGAAAAUCAUCUACAGAAUAAUAAUGUGCUCCUUGUGAACAUACUACUCCUAUAGUAAUAAAAGAUGUUAUUUAUUUGUCAAAACCUCUACAAUUGACGUCAAGGGCUAGCUUUGUGUAAUAUACAUUGUCGAUGGUGUAUGUCAAUAAUUAUUAGGCUUUUGUUUCGACGGUUUGACGUGUUUUCGAAUAAAAUGGCGUAUCGAAAUGACCAUGGUUAUUAACUUCUUGUAGUACAUUUCAGUGGCGACGAGGAUGGGAUUAUAUAAAAAACCUUUACAAGAAACUCUAUCAGUUGAAACAAAUAAAACGGAAGAAGUUUCCAGGAAAGCCAGGAAUUCACCAAAAGUAAAAAUACUUUCUGAUAAUCUGGAUCCCAUUCUUCAUUUACCCAUGUACCAAGAUAUUUGUGCAUUGAAACUCUUUCGAGUGUUGUACAUGUGAGAGUUCUUAUUGAGGUUUGUUGCGGUUUUCUUGAUACUGUACAUAAACUUAGUCUUUGAGAGAUUCAUGCUUAGACCCGACUUUCUGCUACAUUUAUAAACGCUAUCUAUUAUUUUCUAAAGAUCUUGGGAA